GAUGAACGCUGGCGGCGUGCCUAAUACAUGCAAGUCGAGCGAAGCGUGCACGCGUGAGUAACACGUGGAUAACCUCCUAUAAGACUGGGAUAACUUCCUGAAACCGGAGCCUAACCCGCUACUUAUAGAUGGUUCCGCGCUCCAUUAGCUAGUUGGUAAGGUAACGGCUUACCCAGGCAACGAUGCAUAGCCGACCUGAGAGGGUGAUCAGCCACACUGGAACUGAGACACGGUCCAGACUCCUACGGGAGGCAGCAGUAGGGAAGCUUGCGCAAUGGGCGAAAGCCUGACGGAGCAACGCCGCGUGAGUGAUGAAGGUCUUCGGAUCGUAAAACACUGUUAUUAGGGAAGCGGUACCUAAUCAGAAAGCCACGGCUAACUACGUGCCAGCAGCCGCGGUAAUUC
rnacentral:rRNA from 1 species